rnacentral:rRNA from 1 species
AUACGGAGGGCGCAAGCGUUAUUCGGAAUCACUGGGCGUAAAGGACGCGUAGGCGGGUUGGCAAGUCAGAUGUGAAAUCCUACAGCUUAACUGUAGAACUGCAUUUGAAACUGCUAACCUAGAGUAUGGGAGGGGGAGAUGGAAUUAGUGGUGUAGGGGUAAAAUCCGUAGAUAUCACUAGGAAUACCGAAAGCGAAGGCGAUCUCCUGGAACAUAACUGACGCUAAGGCGUGAAAGCGUGGGGAGCAAACAGGAUUAGAAACCCUAGUAGUCC